rnacentral:tRNA from 1 species
UUGCCUUAAAGCCUUCGGGGGGCAGGGCGAUGGGAUCGUCCAGGCCCGGAUCGUCCCGGGAGAGGCAAAAGU